AGUCUAACUUUAUAGACUUAAGUAUAAAUUCAUCAAGUGGGUAGUGUUAAAAUGUCAAAUUUCUCCAGAGAUAUGAUAAAAAAUGUUGACUGGAUGACUGGCAAAAACCGGAGGCAUUGCAUUUUUAAAGCAAACACAAAUAUGGGUAAAAAAGCGAACCCAUGCUACGUCAACUUCAGCAGCAACGACGAACUAAAACUCCAACUUUUGCACCGCCUCCAACUCGGACUCCAAGUUGAGCUCGAACUGCAACUCGAGGCUCUUGGUAAUCCCUAAGUGCUGCUGAACACGAGAAUAACACACGUAAUGCAUAUUUAAACAUUUGCUGAUAGCAAAUGACAAAGGUGGGAGCCAGGACCUGGAGCAGGAGCAGGAGCAGGAACAGGAGGUAGGCACAUGUAUACAGACCAUAGAAAACAAUGUUAGCCGCCAGGCAAUUGAGUGGCAGGGAGGGCAGAGAAGAGUUUGGUGAAACGUGGCAUUUAACAACUACGUGAACAGAGCCACUCACGUCAAAAGCACGUCACGGCGCAGGAUGUGGGCUGUAUGUGUGCAGCGGGAUCCUUAACGAAUCAUAACUUUCGCUCUCAGAGCGCAUUGGACCAGCCCCACGUUCCGCUCCGAGUCCACCCAACCCCCAUAAAGCGACAGGACAAAGUUGCAAACGGAAACGGAAGCAACUACACAGAGCUACAUCGUACCUGGUCAUCGUUUCACAGCGGACCAAACGCUAUGUCUCCGUGUGUGCUGAAAAGUCUUUUGUAACCACAGUUAGAUAGGGAAUAAGCCAUAUAUACAUAUAUAAGUUUAUAUAUAUAUAGAGAAAGGGAGAGAUAGGGAGAGAGGGAGCGAACACGUUGCAAACUGUAACUGGAAUUACUGAAAACUAUUCACACACAAAAAUAUUGUUCAAGCGGCACACACAAAAAUUGAAAAUUCUCUACUUUUCUAGUUCUCCCAGCUAAAAUCGGAGCGGAGCAAAAAACUUUGUCUGGUUGCAACGCCAACACCACCAGCAGCACAGGUAAACUGACUAUCCAGAUUUGAAGGAGUGAAAAGGAUUCGCUUGAGUUCGGGUUUGAGUUCUGGGCUGUUGGCUGAUGAAAAGUCAGGAAGUAAAGUUUUACGGUUCACAUAAAAGCUGAAAUGUUCAUACAAUCAGCAUGAAUUAUAACUCGGAUGUGGAUUAAUUGUUGGCCAAGUGUGCGUGUGUAUAUGUGUGUCUGUGUGUAUUCGCGUGUGCAGAAGUGGGUGUGGAUGUACCUAGCUGGGCGCUGGAUUUGGGUGUAGAUUUGGAUUCGGCUUACCGACAGCCCUUUCAGCAUGAUUUUGUGGCCAUAAAGCUGCAAAGCCGAGUUGAAAGUUAAGAGCUUCUGCAUUCUAUAUUCCUGAUUUCCUGUUAUUUAAAUUUCUAAAAUGACAGUUAUUUGCAAUAUCAGUGCAUUUAAUAUAAUUAAAUGAAUCGACUUUAUUAUACAGAA